GGGGUUUGUUGCACGUAUUAGCUCUAGAAAUACUACAGUUAUCCGAGUAGUAGAUACCAUCAAACAAACUAAAACCGAUUUAAUGAGCCAUUCGCAGUUUCACAGUCUGAAUUUGUUCAUACUUACACAUGCAUGGCUUAAUCUUUGAGACAAGCAUAUGACUACUGGCAGGAUCAACCAGGUAGCAUUCCUCAUUGACGACGGCGUCGCAUGAGCGUGGCCGACCCAAAAGGGAACGCCAAGUCUAAGGCGAGCACGACCGUCAUUCGUAAGGAGCAUUCUUUGGGCAGAUAGAAGCCAAUGAAGGCCCCGUUCCCAUUGAGUUUACCGAAUCCGAGAGCCCGAGCAUGCUAAGUCGUGGACCAAGCCAUCGCAAGGCGAAGCCAGGACGACAUGGGACACAACUGUAGCUUUUGGUUCACCCCGCAUGUCGAAUGCGAGGGGCGAAAGGCGACCGAUUGUGCUUGAUAAUGCCUUGGCAUUAGGUAUGAAACACAGAAAACCGACGUUGAACAAGCCUAAUUUGCACUUGUGACAUGACUGAAUUGCCUUGGCUUGGAGCAGCCAAUGCCCGUCUAAGAACAUUGAUUUCGACCUUCAAGUUGUCGACCUCUUUCUUUAGGUCUUCAACUACGCCAUCCGUUGAUUCACAGCUUUGUUGGAUCCCAUCGGGAAACUAAUCUGCCCCAUCCUUUAGACGGUAAAUCUCUGUUAUAAGAUCUGCCAUAUCCAAAGGAUCAUCAGUCACGCCGAUUAGCGUCUCCAACCGUUGCACUCUAUCACGUAAGUCUGAAGUAGAUCCACCCGCGAACAAUUCCAGACACAACCCACAACAACCGGUGGCAAUCGGCAACUUAGUAAGUUUCACCCCGUGCGCACGGCACCUUGCGCCGCUACUUGCACGAUGCUUUUCCAUUUUGUUGCCAAAAGCCAUCAGCCGCCACAAGCGAUGUCGCCUCCCGGUGUUGCCCGCAACAACCGAUGGCAAUCAGCAACUUAUUAAGCUUCGCCUCGUUCGCACGGCACCUUGCGACGCUACUUGCACGAUGCUUUGCCAUAUUGUUUCCAAAAGCCAUCAGCUGCCACGAGCAAUGUCGCCUCCCAAUGUUUCCCGCAACAACCGAUGGCAAUGAACAUCUAUUGAGCUUCGCCCCGUGCGCACGGCACCUUGCGACGAUACUUGCACGAUGCUCCGCUGUUCAUUGUCAAAAUCCAUAAGCCACCAUGUAAGGGGGUUUAUAGACACAAACCAGAACAAUCGAUGGCAAUAGACAACUUACAAAGCUUCGCCCCAUGUGCACGGCAUCUUGCGGAGCUACUUGCACGACGCUCCACCGUUACAUUGCCGAAAGCCAUCAACCGCCAUGAGUGAUGUUGCCCGCAACAACCGAUGGCAAUCGCCAUCUACUGAGCUUUGCCCCAUGCGCAUGGCACCUUGCGGGGCUAGUUGCACGAUGCUACGCCGUUCGUUGUCGAAAGCCAUCAGCCACCACAAGAGAUUCCAGACACAACCCACAACAACCGAUGGCAAUCAACAACAACUUACUAAGCUUCGCCCCAUGCGCCCGUCACCUUGCGGCGCUACUUGCACGAUGCUUUGUUGUUCUGUUGUCAAAAUCCAUCAGCCGCCACGAGCGAUGUCGCCUCCUGAUUUUGCCCGCAACAUCCAAUGGUGAUCAACACUACGAAGCUUCACCCCAUGCGCACGGCACCUUGCGGCGCUACUUGCAUGACGCUCCACCGUUCAUUGCCAAAUGCCAAUGUUUUCCAUGAGCGGUGCCACCACCAGGCGUACUACAAUCCCACACGAGUACUUGCCGGCACGGUUUGGGGACAUCGAGGACGUAGUACAGACAAUUCGUGCAUGCUCCCAAUGCCCACGCCCCAUGCCAGCGUCCCCCAUGCAUGCCCACCCCUUCAUGGUAGCAAGCAUCUGAGGUGCCUCUCAACACCUCUGCCCCCUUAUAUAUACUUAAAAACAACCCAAGUUUUAGGAGUAGACAUGUUUUGGCCAGAGAAUUAUAAUAGACAUGUACAACACCAAAUAGCACAAACAAAAGUAUAACUUGGCUAAGAUAUUCACAAACGACUUUUAAACAUUGUAAAUGAUAUUUUUAACGAAAAAUUAAUAUUUUUUUGAAAUACUUAUAUUCAAAAACGAAAAAUACUUAAUAAAAUACUAAAAAAUAUGAAAAUUAUUAUAAAAAUAGAAAUAUUUUUAUUUAAAAACGAAAAAUACUUAAUAAAAUACUAAAAAAUAUGAAAACUAUUAUAAAAAUAGAAAAAAAUGAUGGAGAAAAAUUCCAAUACAUCUUGUAAUAGUAUUACUUAUAAAAGAGUAAAUAUUUUUAUUGAAAAAGUGACAUAAAAAUAAUUUAAAAUAACAAAAAAAUGCAUAAAAAUUACUAAAAAAUAUAUUAAAAAAAAAGAAAAAAUACAUAAUAUUAUUAUAAAAGCGUAUAGAUGACAAACCGCCAAUAAGAACGAGGCACCUCCAUUG
rnacentral:lncRNA from 1 species